rnacentral:rRNA from 1 species
AGAGUUUGAUCAUGGCUCAGAACGUACGCUGGCGGCACGCCUAACACAUGCAAGUCGAACGCAGUAGCAAUACUGAGUGGCAAACGGGUGAGUAUAAUGUGGGAAUCUGCCUUUUGGUCUGGAAUAACACGGGGAAACUUGUGCUAAUACCGGAUAAGCCUUUACAGGGAAAGUUUUAAUGCCGAAAGAUGAGCCCGCACUUGAUUAGCUAGUUGGUAAGGUAAAAGCUUACCAAGGCAACGAUCAAUAGCUGUUCUUAGAGGAAGACCAGCCACAUUGGGACUGAGACACGGCCCAGACUCCUACGGGAGGCAGCAGUGGGGAAUUUUCCGCAAUGGGCGAAAGCCUGACGGAGCAACGCCGCGUGAGGGACGAAGGCCUCUGGGCUGUAAACCUCUUUUCUCAAGGAAGAAGAUAUGACGGUACUUGAGGAAUAAGCCACGGCUAAUUCCGUGCCAGCAGCCGCGGUAAUACGGGAGUGGCAAGCGUUAUCCGGAAUUAUUGGGCGUAAAGCGUCCGCAGGCGGCUUUUCAAGUCUGCUGUUAAAGCGUGGAGCUUAACUCCAUCAUGGCAGUGGAAACUGAAAGGCUUGAGUAUGGUAGGGGCAGAGGGAAUUCCCGGUGUAGCGGUGAAAUGCGUAGAUAUCGGGAAGAACACCAGUGGCGAAGGCGCUCUGCUGGGCCAUUACUGACGCUCAUGGACGAAAGCCAGGGGAGCGAAAGGGAUUAGAUACCCCUGUAGUCCUGGCCGUAAACGAUGAACACUAGGUGUCGGGGGAAUCGACCCCUUCGGUGUCGUAGCUAACGCGUUAAGUGUUCCGCCUGGGGAGUACGCACGCAAGUGUGAAACUCAAAGGAAUUGACGGGGGCCCGCACAAGCGGUGGAGUAUGUGGUUUAAUUCGAUGCAACGCGAAGAACCUUACCAGGGUUUGACAUCCUGCGAACCUCUUAGAAAUUUGAGGGUGCCUUCGGGAAUGCAGUGACAGGUGGUGCAUGGCUGUCGUCAGCUCGUGUCGUGAGAUGUUGGGUUAAGUCCCGCAACGAGCGCAACCCACGUUUUUAGUUGCCAGCAUUUAGUUGGGCACUCUAGAAAGACCGCCGGUGAUAAACCGGAGG